GUGCUUACUUUGGCAGCACAUAUGCUAAAAUUAGACAAUA
rnacentral:snRNA from 1 species